ensembl:lncRNA
GGCAGGACUGAAGGUCCCACAACAAUCUGUUCUCACUCUCUUUCUCUCACACACUCAAGUCCUUGUGUGCCAUAUGGAUGCAGAGCUGCUCCUGUCAGAUCCUGAGAUGAAUGUGGAUGAAAGACGAGAUCGAGCAGAACCUGUUGAGAGAGAAUGGUUCCAGGGCUUCGGAGAGUGGGAGAAUCAGUACCUGUACAGAUGAAGAAGCAGAAAAGCUCUGAAGCCAGAAGACAGAAAUACCGAUAAAAACAAGAAUGAGCACAAACAUCGGUAUGACAAACACAAGGUGGAAAGAUUAGACGACAGAGAAAGUGAUAAGAAGAGAUGCCCAAGUUACUUCUCUUUUGUCUGACAAGUAAGUGAAUUAAUUACUGUGUUCGUUCUCUAAAACUAGUGACAGGAGAAAUUAAGAAUUUUGAGAUUUUGAAUCAGUUGCUUCGAAAAAUGACUCACUGUUUGAAGCGCUCAAAACGCCACACGCUGGUGACUCCUGGUGGUCAAAAUAGUAGAAAUACAACAAAACUCAGGCCAAACAUGCAUAAAAACAAACCCAUUGACCCUUCGCCAGGAGUUUGAAUGACAGGCGAUCUGUCCAAUCAUAACGCAGAAUCUGUUAUUUUGUCUGACAAACAAAACAGAAAGGAGAGUAGAUUAAUGUCAGUGAACUUUGAAAAAUGGUGUGUAUUGAUGUCUUUCUGCGGGUUAAACAAGAUUCCUUCUGUUGUUCAUUCAUGUUUAUUUUGUGCUAUAACUAGUAGUAAAGAGUAAGAGAUGAUCGGUUCACGUGCUGCUACAGCGAUCUGUCACGACACAUUAAAGUGCCACAAAUCAGGUUUUAUUUUUUGAAUUUCUUAAAGAAAAUGACAUGAUUGGAAAGCUGAGACUUUGUUUCAUGCCAGAAGUAUCCUGCUCUGUCUUGUCUGUUGGCACAAUGUGUUUUUCACUGCAUGAGAACAUGAUGUGUGGUGUGAGAGCGCCAUGGCUGGUCAUAUGUAGCAACAGUAACGAAGGAGGGCAGGUCUUUGUGAAGAGUCGAUUGCUUCACAAAAUGAUCCACUGUUUUGAAACGCCACACGCUGGUGACACCUGCUGGUCAGAACGGUGCAAAUGUAAUGAAAACUCAAGCGAGCAUACAUAAAAACAGCUUUAACAAAACUCAUUGCAAAUGUUUAAUUGAAAGUUCAAUCCAUGA